rnacentral:misc_RNA from 1 species
GAUGAAGAACGCAGCGAAAUGCGAUAAGUAAUGUGAAUUGCAGAAUUCAGUGAAUCAUCGAAUCUUUGAACGCACAUUGCGCCCGCCAGUAUUCUGGCGGGCAUGCCUGUUCGAGCGUCAUUUCAACCAUCAAGCCCCGGGCUUGUGUUGGGGACCUGCGGCUGCCGCAGGCCCUGAAAAGCAGUGGCGGGCUCGCUGUCACACCGAGCGUAGUAGCAUACAUCUCGCUCUGGGCGUGCUGCGGGUUCCGGCCGUUAAACCCCCUUUUAACCCAAGGUUGACCUCGGAUCAGGUAGGAAGACCCGCUGAACUUAAGCAUAUCAAUAAGCGGAGGA